AGCGAACGCUGGCGCCAGGCCUAACACAUGCAAGUCGAACGAACCUUUCGGGGUUAGUGGCGGACGGGUGAGUAACACGUGGGAACGUGCCUUUAGGUUCGGAAUAACUCAGGGAAACUUGUGCUAAUACCGAAUGUGCCCUUCGGGGGAAAGAUUUAUCGCCUUUAGAGCGGCCCGCGUCUGAUUAGCUAGUUGGUUGAGGUAAUGGCUCACCAAGGCGACGAUCAGUAGCUGGUCUGAGAGGAUGAUCAGCCACAUUGGGACUGAGACACGGCCCAAACUCCUACGGGAGGCAGCAGUGGGGAAUCUUGCGCAAUGGGCGAAAGCCUGACGCAGCCAUGCCGCGUGAAUGAUGAAGGUCUUAGGAUUGUAAAAUUCUUUCAACGGGGACGAUAAUGACGGUACCCGGAGAAGAAGCCCCGGCUAACUUCGUG
rnacentral:rRNA from 1 species